UCUGCCUCCCAAGGGUUGGGAUUAAAGCCAUGCAUCACCACUGCCUGGCUUAGAAUAUUUUUUAAUAAUGUAUGCAUAUAUACUCAGGACAAAAACAAAACAGUAGGCAACAAGGUGUCUUCAUUGCCACUAAACCUGACAACUUGAGUUCGAUCCUCCUCAGGACUCACGUGAUAGGAGAGAGCUAAUUCCAGCAAGUUGUUCUCAGACCUCCACAAGUACACCGUAGCACACUCUCUCACACCAAAUAUAAUAAUAAAACUUUAAAAACAUCGGAAGGGGAGAAGAAAGAGAAUUCAAAAGUCCUCCCUUCCUAGAUCCUGGGGUAUAUCUUUUACUUUAUUCUGUCUGUCUUUCUGUCUGUCUGUCUCUGCGGGGGGCAGAAGGUGUCAGAGAACAAUCCUUGGGCCUCAGUUCUCACUGGAUCACCUGAGGUCAUUAGGCUCUGUGGCAGCUACCUGCUCUACCUACUGAGCUUUCCUAUCUGAUUAUACUUACUUUAAAUUUUCUAUUUGAGACGGGGUCUAACCGUGUAACACUGGCUGGCCUCAAACUCACAAGAAGCAUCGUCCUCCCUCUGCCUCCCAAGUGCUGCUAUUAAAGGUAUUCUCCACUAUUCCAGGCCCUUUAGUAACUUAAUUUUGAGAUAGGGUCUUUGUAGCACAGGCUGGCCUUGAAAUCACCAUAAAUUGGCUUUGAACUCCCGAGCCCUCCUAACUUUCCCUUCAGAGUUCUGGGACUCCAGAUCAGCACCACCACGCCUAUCUUCAAUUCUUAUUUUUGUUUCCUGCCAGCAACUCCAGUUGUAUUCCAGAGAGAAGCCCCAGGGUCUCACUCUGGCUCGAUAACUGAGCCACACACCUCUGAGGAUAUACCUCCUAAAGCUAUUGGUGUUUCCAAACCUUGGGGUUGACUCCACCUCGAUGUAUAAAUUGCUUCUGUGGCUAUAUCUAAAUUUGGUGCUGGCCAUUAUCUAGUGCCUUCCUGCUAAGGUAGAUACAGACUUUAUCUGGCUCACACCCACUCUCCAUCCUCGGUCUUAUUAGUUCUACUACUGGCCUUCCUUUAUUGGGUGGUUCACAGGGCUAGCCUUUCUUUCUUAUGUAGUGCCCAAAUCUCUACUUACCAGGCCACAUCCUCCACUGGGAACUCAAAAGGGGGAAGUCUGCAUACCAGACAAAGGAGACUCUUGGGAGCACUCCACUACAGCCCAUCUGGUCAGUCUCCCACAGUAGGGUGUGUGAUCUCCAUCACAUUUUAGAUAGAGUCUCUUUGUUGUUUUCUCCUAGACUGACUACACCAAGAAUGCUGGCCCUCGAGCUUCCCGGAAUUCUUUCUUCACCUUUCAUCUCUGAAGUAAGAACACUGGGAGUACAAAUAUGUGCUUUGUACCACACCCAGCUUUAUGUGGGGUGUGGGGAUUCAAAUCAGGGUCAUCUCCACUGUUGGCAAUGAGGUAGAAGCUUUGUGUCACAACUAAGGCUCUAGAUUCCAUCUCUAACACCACAUAAGCUAGGUGUGGGAGAACACUCCUUUAUUCCUGGCACUUCAGAGAUAGGAGACGGAGGAUCAGAAGAGGUUAUCCUUGGCUACACACUGAAUGUAAGUCCAACCUAAGGUACAAGAGACCUUGUCUCCAUAAAAAAAAAAAAAUUGUUAUUUGAAAAAUACAGAAAAGAAAAUAGAAAAAGCACCGGCCAGAAAUC
rnacentral:lncRNA from 1 species